rnacentral:rRNA from 1 species
CGGCACGGGUGAGUAACACGUAUCCAACCUGCCGUCUACUCUUGGCCAGCCUUCUGAAAGGAAGAUUAAUCCAGGAUGGCAUCAUGAGUUCACAUGUCCGCAUGAUUAAAGGUAUUUUCCGGUAGACGAUGGGGAUGCGUUCCAUUAGAUAGUAGGCGGGGUAACGGCCCACCUAGUCAACGAUGGAUAGGGGUUCUGAGAGGAGGGUCCCCCACAUUGGAACUGAGACACGGUCCAA